UUAUGGCUCAGGACGAACGCUGGCGGCACGCUUAACACAUGCAAGUCGAACGGAGUAUCGAGAGCUUGCUUUGAUAACUUAGUGGCGGACGGGUGAGUAACACGUGAGCAAUCUGCCCUUAAGAGGGGGAUAGCAGUUGGAAACGACUGAUAAUACCGCAUAAGAUAGUAGUACCGCAUGGUACAGCUAUAAAAGAUUUAUCGCUUAAGGAUGAGCUCGCGUCUGAUUAGCUAGUUGGUGAGGUAACGGGCUCACCAAGGCAACGAUCAGUAGCCGGACUGAGAGGUUGGACGGCCACAUUGGGACUGGGACACGGCCCAGACUCCUACGGGAGGCAGCAGUGGGGAAUAUUGCACAAUGGAGGAAACUCUGAAUGCAGCGAUGCCGCGUGAGGGAAGAAGGUUUUAGGAUUGUAAACCUCUGUUGACAGGGACGAUAAUGACGGUACCUGUUGAGGAAGCUCCGGCUAACUCCGUGCCAGCCGCAGC
rnacentral:rRNA from 1 species